rnacentral:rRNA from 1 species
CAAUAGCGUAUAUUAAAGUUGUUGCGGUUAAAAAGCUCGUAGUUGGAUUUCUGCUGAGGACGACCGGUCCGCCCUCUGGGUGAGUAUCUGGUUCGGCCUGGGCAUCUUCUUGGAGAACGUAGCCGCACUUGACUGUGUGGUGCGGUAUCCAGGACUUUUACUUUGAGGAAAUUUAGAGUGUUUCAAGCUAGGCACACGCCUUGAAUACAUUAGCAUGGAAUAAUAAGAUAGGACCUCGGUUCUAUUUUGUUGGUUUCUAGAGCUGAGGUAAUGAUUAAUAGGGGAUAGUUGGGGGGCAUUCGUAUUUAACUGUCAGAGGUGAAAUUCUCGGAUUUGUUAAAGACGGACUAACUGCGAAAAGCAUUUUGCCAAGGGAUGUUUUUUCAUUGAUCAAGAACGAAAGUUAGGGGGAUCGAA